UACGGGGGGGUGCGAGCGUUGUCCGGAAUCACUGGGCGUAAAGGGCGCGUAGGUGGCCUGAUAAGGGUGUGGUGAAAGUCCGGGGGCUCAACCCCCGGAUCUGCCGUGCCGACUGUUGGGCUGGAGUACUGUAGGGGCAGGCGGAAUUCCGGGUGUAGCGGUGGAAUGCGUAGAGAUCCGGAGGAAGACCGGUGGCGAAGGCGGCCUGCUGGGCAGUUACUGACACUGAGGCGCGACAGCGGUGGGGAGCAAACAGG
rnacentral:rRNA from 1 species